rnacentral:rRNA from 1 species
GUCUUAUUGAAUUAAAUAAAUAAUAAGUCUAUUCUGCCCAUUGAAAAAAAAAUUAAAAGGCUGCGGUAUUUUAACUGUACAAAGGUAGCAAAAUAAAUAGUUUUUUAAUUGAAAACUUGAAUGAAAGAGUUAAUAAGAUAUUAAUUGUCUCGAUUUUAUAAAAAUUAAUUUAAAUUAAAAGUUAAAAUGCUUUUAUAAAUUUAUUAGACGAUAAGACCCUAAGAAUUUAAUUAUAUAUGUUUAAUAUAAAUUAUAAUUAUAAUAUUAAAAAAUUUAAUAAUUUUAUUGGGAGGAUAAUUAAAUUAUUUAACUUUAAUUAAUAAAAAAUAUUGAUAAAUAAAAAUAAUGAUUAAUAUAAAGAUUAUAAGAAUUAAUUACCUUAGGGAUAACAGCGUAAUAAUUUUGGAGAGUUCAUAUUGAUAAAAUUGUUUACGACCUCGAUGUUGAAUUAAAAUAAAAAUUAAAUGAAGAUAUUUAAAUUUUUAGUCUGUUCGACUAUUAAAAUUUUACAU